UUGACGCCGGAAACGAAUAACACCACAACGGCGCCUACGCGUGACGUCAUAAUUCCACGCCAAGCUAAUUAGCUAGCUGAAUGACGGCUACGAAUACUCGAAGAAUCGGAGCUAACGUCAAUUUAUCCGUAACAGGACACAUCUACAACUGCAUCAUAGAGACAACUGGGUCUCUUUCCCCCAGUGACCACAGCGAGGUCUGAGCCUCCGUCAACAUGACAGACAACAAGCGUCUCGCCUUCUCCAUUAUCCAUUUCCUUCAUGAUCAGCUCAAGUCAGGGAACCUGUCUUCAGGGGCCCAGGAGAGUCUGGAAGUUGCUGUUCAGUGUUUGGAGACAGCCUUUGAAGUUUCGACUGAUGACCAGACCCUCGCCGUGCCCAUGACGUUACCGGAGAUCUUCGCCUCAGCCACAGCAGGGUUUCCGGUUGAGUCGCAGGUCAACAACAAUUCCCCUUCUCAACAACCUCCAAACACCAUCAGCGAGGAUCAGAAAGAAGAGGCAGAGGUGCUCAAAACCGAUGGUAACGACCAAAUGAAAGUGGAAAACUACGGAGCUGCUGUUGAGUUUUACUCGAAAGCCAUCGCACUCAACCCUCAGAACGCGGUCUAUUACUGCAACAGGGCUGCAGCGUACAGCAAACUAGGUAACUAUGCGGGAGCCGUGCAGGACUGUGAGCAGGCCAUCAGCAUCGACCCAAACUACAGCAAAGCCUACGGGAGGAUGGGUUUGGCACUGGCCAGCCUUAACAAACACACAGAAGCAGCGACAUAUUACAAGAAAGCUCUGGAGCUCGACCCCGACAAUGACACGUACAAAACUAACCUGAAGAUUGCAGAGGAGAAGAUGGAAACGUCCAGUCCAACAGCAGGGAUGGGUGGAGUGGAUCUGGCCGGUCUGCUCAGUAACCCCGGCUUCAUGAACAUGGCGUCCUCUCUGAUGAACAAUCCUCAGGUCCAGCAGCUGAUGUCAGGGAUGAUGUCAGGAGCGUAUGGUGGGAUGCCAGGAGGAGGUGCUGGAAUGCCAGGAGGAGCAGGAGGAAUGCCAGGAGGAAUGCCAGGAGGAAUGCCAGGAGGAAUGCCAGGUGGAAUGCCAGGUGGAAUGCCAGGAGGAAUGCCAGGAGGAAUGCCAGGAGGAAUGCCAGGAGGAAUGCCAGCAGGCUUGCCAGGAGGACUGGGAGGACUUGGAGGACUAGGAGGAAGUGCAGCACCACCUGGACCUGCUGCUGGAGCGGGAGAUUUAUCAGGACUAAUCCAGGCAGGUCAGCAGUUUGCUCAGCAGAUGCAGCAGCAGAACCCCGAACUCAUCGAGCAGCUGAGGAGUCAAAUCCGCAACCGAACACCCAGCGCUGGAAACGAGGAGCAGCCAUGACACUCAGACACAGUAAAUACACUCACUCAAUACUGUUUCCAUCUCAAGGCCGUUUGUUCUGGUUGGCCAGGUUUGUGUGUGGACAAGAGCUCAUUUGGAUCAUGUAUAACUCGAAGGACUAAAAGGAAGUCCCCGUCCCCCCCGCCAUCACUGCACGAGAGAGAGGGAGGAGCUCCCGCUUUAUUUAGGAGCCAUCACCAAAAACAAACCCUCACUUCCUGCGGCUCUGUUGUGUUUAAGAAGAACAUUUUGACCCUAACACUUUGUUAUGAAAUACUGAUGAAUUCUAAUGAAAAAUAGUGUGUGUGUGUGUGUGUGUGUGUGUGUGUGUGUGUGUGUGUGUGUGUGUGUGUGUGUGUGUGUGUGUGUGUGUGUGUGUGUGUGUGUGUGUGUGUGUGUGUGUGUGUGUGUGUGUGUGUGUGUGUGUGUGUGUGUGUGUGUGUGUGUGGCAGAGAGCUGUUCAGUCUGACAAUUAAAAAAAGAGCAUCUCAACAUUUUA